rnacentral:misc_RNA from 1 species
AACAGUGAACAUGAGAUGAUGUCUGCACUGUACCUCCAAGUCAGUAUUGUGAGUCAGGCCCUCAUCUUCGUCACCCGUUCUCGCAGCUGGUCCUUCAUCGAACGCCCUGGUCUUCUCUUGGUCACUGCAUUCAUGCUUGCACAACUGGUUGCGACAUUCCUCGCUGUCUAUGCCAACUGGGGCUUUGCCAGGAUCAAGGGCAUUGGCUGGGGCUGGGCUGGCGUUAUCUGGCUUUACAGCAUUGUGUUCUACUUCCCUCUUGACAUCUUCAAGUUCUUCAUCCG